rnacentral:rRNA from 1 species
CCUACGGGAGGCAGCAGUGAGGAAUAUUGGUCAAUGGACGCAAGUCUGAACCAGCCAUGCCGCGUGCAGGAAGACGGCUCUAUGAGUUGUAACCUGCUUUUGUACGAGGGUAAACGCACAUACGCGUCUCUGUCUGAAGGUAUCGUACGAAUAAGGAUCGGCUAACUCCGUGCCAGCCGCCGCGGUAAUACGGAGGAUUCAAGCGUUAUCCGGAUUCAUUGGGUUUAAAGGGUGCGUAGGCGGGCGCUUAAGUUAGAGGUGAAAUCCCGAGGCUCAACUUCCGAAGUGCCUCCGAUACUGGGCGCCUAGAGAGUAGUUGCGGUAGGCGGAAUGUAUGGGGUAGCGGUGAAAUGCAUAGAGAUCAUACAGAACACCGAUUGCGAAGGCAGCGUACCAAGCUACUUCUGACGUUGAGGCACGAAAGCGUGGGGAGCAAACAGGAUUAGAUACCCUUGUAGUC